CCCUUAGAUGUUCUGGGCCGCACGCGCGCUACACUGAUGCAUUCAACGAGUUUUUCCUGGUCCGAGAGGAAUGGGUAACCUUUUGAAAGUGCAUCGUGAUAGGGAUAGACUAUUGCAAUUAUUGGUCUUCAACGAGGAAUUCCUAGUAGACGUAGUUCAUCAGACUGCAUCGAUUACGUCCCUGCCCUUUGUACACACCGCCCGUCGCUCCUACCGAUUGAAUGCUCAGGUGAGCCAUUCGGGCUUUCAUCAUGCUGGUUUCCAGUUUUGAUGAAGGAAAGUCUUGCGAACCUUAUCAUUUAGAGGAAGGAGAAGUCGUAACA
rnacentral:rRNA from 1 species